UACGAAGGGGGCUAGCGUUGCUCGGAAUCACUGGGCGUAAAGCGCACGUAGGCGGAUUGCUAAGUCAGGGGUGAAAUCCUGGAGCUCAACUCCAGAACUGCCUUUGAUACUGCUUGGCUUGAAUUCGGGAGAGGAUAGCGGAAUUCCCAGUGUAGAGGUGAAAUUCGUAGAUAUUGGGAAGAACACCGGUGGCGAAGGCGGCUAUCUGGACCGACAUUGACGCUGAGGCGCGAAAAGCGUGGGGGAGCAAACAGG
rnacentral:rRNA from 1 species